UUCAUCUUGCUUAGCCUGCCAGCUCCUGGCCUCCUUCCACCCCCACUCGGCUUCCCACUGGCUUUAGGACCCGGAGGGCUGGGUAGGCUGGCCAGCCCAGAGUCAUCAGAUGCCAGGCUGCCUUCUUGGGCCCCUGACCUGUCCUCAGCACCAUCCAUGGAAGACCUUUACACCUUUCUGGGUCUCUGCUGAAUGUCACCUCCUGUUUGCGGCCCAGUCCUGUUCUCUGUGCUGUUUCUGUGGUUCUCCUUCCCAAGGAGCACGGACUUCUCACAGCGCCUGAACAGUCGCCCAUGUUUACCGUUAGCAGCUUGUCUUCGGCCAGCACCAUGAACACGCGGGAACCUUGAGAUUGAAUCUACCAGUGUGGUAUGAAGUUCCUACCGUAUUCUGGGUCCUGUCGUGGGUGUGGAAACCAUCAUGCCAGGCAGGUGGACACAGCUUGCUUUCUCAUGAUUCAAUGACAGAAGAUUUCUGCAGAGACCGAAGAAAACAGUCCCUCUGAAGGACUUAGUGCAACCUGCAGCAUCAGUGGGACCAGUCAGCAAACAAGCAAAUGGGAUCGUCUUCUGGCCCCAGCCUUCAUGAUGGAUCCUGGCCUCUCCCCAGAGGGUGAUGGCGGAGCCCAUCACACCUCUUCCAAGGUGCCCUCACCUAUCCACUCUCGACAACUCCCAUGCCUGGGAGCAGGUAGCAUCUGGGCAGUACCUACUAUGGGGAGGUGACUAGCGUAUCACCCUGGGUCCCCUGGCACAGGUUUCUUGGAUGCCAUCAGACCUCUGCAGACCUCAGGAGGGAUAAAGGUUGGUCCAAACUAGAUUUUAAGCUCUGGGCACAUUCUCAUUUUUUACUGAGAUUGUGGGGGAGAGGGGAAAAAAAGAGAGAGUGAAAAAUAGUCCCAUCUAGACUGUGCAGGGCAAAAGCAAUUUCCUCCCCAGAUCUCCUUUUCUGAUUCUCAGAAGAGGCAAUUUGGAAAUGUCCGGGCAGUUCUGGCUGGGGUGUGGACCAGACCACC